UCAGUGAUGGUCGAGGGCUCUCAUCCUUUACUGCUAUCCAAAGGUCAGACGGAUGAUGCUGCUAGUUCAGAGAGUAGCCUUGAACAGAUUUUUACAGAGCCUGAAUAUGUACAAUAACGUGAUCUCAGUGAGGUGAUUAUUCCCUUGCCCAUGGCUCACCAAUUGACAUUGGAGCAGUAUUGCAAAAAAAUGUUUUAUGGCCCGUCACACUGCUCCUAUAUGUAGUACAAUUUACAGCAUCCAUGGACACCACAUCAGUGAAUAACCAUUAGCAGGUGAGGCUUCGCCUCCGAUUGAGAGGAAUGAGUCAACAUCACCAAAGAGACGCAAACCAGUGUCAGAUCAUGAGAUAACUUCAAGUGCCAGCACUGU